rnacentral:rRNA from 1 species
CUAAGCGUACACGGUGGAUGCCCUGGCAGUCAGAGGCGAUGAAGGGCGUGCUAAUCUGCGAUAAGCGCCGGUAAGGUGAUAUGAACCGUUAUAACCGGCGAUACCCGAAUGGGGAAACCCAGUGUGAUUCGUCACACUAUCAUUAACUGAAUCCAUAGGUUAAUGAGGCGAACCGGGGGAACUGAAACAUCUAAGUACCCCGAGGAAAAGAAAUCAACCGAGAUUCCCCCAGUAGCGGCGAGCGAACGGGGAG